UACGAGGGGGGCAAAUGUUGUUCGGAAUCAUUGGGCGUAAAGAGCUCGUAGGCGGCUGCUCAAGUCGAAUGUGAAAACUCGAGGCUCAACCUCGAGCCUGCAUUCGAUACUGGGCGGCUAGAGUCUGGUAGGGGGAUCUGGAAUUCCUGGUGUAGCGGUGGAAUGCGCAGAUAUCAGGAGGAACACCGGUGGCGAAGGCGGGAUCCUGGGCCAGUACUGACGCUGAGGAGCGAAAGCGUGGGGAGCAAACAGG
rnacentral:rRNA from 1 species